rnacentral:rRNA from 1 species
AGAGUUUGAUCCUGGCUCAGGAUGAACGCUAGCGGCAGGCUUAACACAUGCAAGUCGAGGGGCAGCAUAAUGGAUAGCAAUAUCUAUGGUGGCGACCGGCGCACGGGUGCGUAACGCGUAUGCAACCUACCUUUAACAGGGGGAUAACACUGAGAAAUUGGUACUAAUACCCCAUAAUAUCAUAGAAGGCAUCUUUUAUGGUUGAAAAUUCCGAUGGUUAGAGAUGGGCAUGCGUUGUAUUAGCUAGUUGGUGGGGUAACGGCUCACCAAGGCGACGAUACAUAGGGGGACUGAGAGGUUAACCCCCCACACUGGUACUGAGACACGGACCAGACUCCUACGGGAGGCAGCAGUGAGGAAUAUUGGUCAAUGGACGCAAGUCUGAACCAGCCAUGCCGCGUGCAGGAAGACGGCUCUAUGAGUUGUAAACUGCUUUUGUACGAGGGUAAACGCAGAUACGUGUAUCUGCCUGAAAGUAUCGUACGAAUAAGGAUCGGCUAACUCCGUGCCAGCAGCCGCGGUAAUACGGAGGAUUCAAGCGUUAUCCGGAUUUAUUGGGUUUAAAGGGUGCGUAGGCGGUUUGAUAAGUUAGAGGUGAAAUCCCGGGGCUUAACUCCGGAACUGCCUCUAAUACUGUUAGACUAGAGAGUAGUUGCGGUAGGCGGAAUGUAUGGUGUAGCGGUGAAAUGCUUAGAGAUCAUACAGAACACCGAUUGCGAAGGCAGCUUACCAAACUAUAUCUGACGUUGAGGCACGAAAGCGUGGGGAGCAAACAGGAUUAGAUACCCUGGUAGUCCACGCAGUAAACGAUGAUAACUCGUUGUCGGCGAUACACAGUCGGUGACUAAGCGAAAGCGAUAAGUUAUCCACCUGGGGAGUACGUUCGCAAGAAUGAAACUCAAAGGAAUUGACGGGGGCCCGCACAAGCGGAGGAACAUGUG